GGAAAGGGCUCAAACACGGCUUCUUAGCCUUGAGAGAGAGAAGGGUUUCCUCCGUUCUCAAUUAGAAUCAGCAAAUGGCUGGAAGUAAGAACAGUGACAGUGUGGAUUCAAAUAGUAUUCUUGAGAAUUCUUUGAGUGCCAAAGAGAAGAUCAUAUCUGAACUGAACAUGGAACUCCACAAUAUUGAAACCACCUUGACAAAUGAGCGAGAACAGCACAUGAAUGAGUUCAAAAAGUUGAACAUGGCACUCAAUGAGAAGGAACUUGCUCUUGAGG
rnacentral:misc_RNA from 1 species